GACAAACGGGUCGGGUUAAGGCUUAAACAGUAAAAAAGGAGGUUAAAGAGUUGGUAAUCUUUACUUUAGAGAUAAUUGUUUAGGAAAUUUAUAUUUUUUAUAGGGGUGGAAUCUGGAUAAAAUGGGUUAAUUUGUUAUUUCCUUGUUCUUGACGCCUCGAAAUCUUAUGAUGAGACCGGGAUUAGAUACCCCGUUAUUUGAGAAUUAAAUUUUGAUUAUUAGGUUGAUUUACUUGGGUAUUACGAGAUGUGGUAAAAAAAUUAUUACAGCUAUCUUAAAACUCAAAAGACUUGGCGGUGUUUUAGGUCCUUCUAGGGGAACCUGUCCUAUAAUUGAUAGUCCACGUAUUACCUUUCCUCUUCUUGAAAUUUUUCAGCCUGUAUACCGUCGUCGCCAGAUUACUCUUAAGGAGAAUGAAGUUAUCGGUAAGAAUACUUACAGUAGGAUUUUGUUUUAUGUUAUUCUUCCUGACGUCAGAUCAAGGUGCAGCCUAUGAAGAGGGAGAGAUGGGUUACAAUAAUGAUUUAUUAUACGGAUUUUUCUCUGCAAAUUGAGAUUUAUUGAAGGCGGACUUAGAAGUAAUUUAAUAAUAAGGGAGUAGAAAGCCUUGGUGAAAAUUGGCACUAAAAUGUGC
rnacentral:rRNA from 1 species